CCCUCAGGGACCCCUGCGGCCCUCCCCCAUUGUGACGGGGAGUCAGAAUUCUAUGACGACAGUGGGCACUCGUGGGCCUCCCCUUCCGGUAGAGGCCGAAGUUCAGGACCAAGGAGGAGGGGCGUCCUCCAGAUGCAGAGGUUGGCAAGGCCAUGGGGAGCUAGGGAGAAAACCUCAGCCGCCUUCGCUUCCUGCCGAAAAUGGUCAAAGGGAGACGCUGCAACCCCCCUUCAGACAAGGACGGACGAUGGUUCCCUCAGAUUGGACUAACACAAAAGACACCAGAAUCCAUCACCAGUGCUAUGUUAAAAGAACCCCACAGUCCACGUUUGUCUCGGCAAGUGGAGGGGAAGCUACCACCAAUCUACAAGGUUCGAGAGAAGCAAGCAGUAGACAAUCACUUCCCCUUCUCUGUACAUGACAAUCGCUACAGCCUUCAGAGCACUGGAUUCUACCUGGACUCUGGCCUGGGACGUAGGAAGAUCUCCCCAGAGAAAAGGCAACACAGUUCAAGAAAUUUCAAUCUUUGGGCGUGUGACUAUGUCCCGUCUUGUCUUGAUGGCUUUUCAAAUAGCCAAAUAUCUUACGUCUGUCAAGAAAUUGUGGUGCUCCCAAUUUUCAGACGCUUCCCAAGACAUUAUAAUGAGAUAUGGAACUCUUUUAAAUGUCUUCCUCAGAGAAGCUAUACAGAGUUUUUGAAAAAGAAUCCAAAGUUCAAACAGUACAGAGGAAACAGAAGUUCCUCUUGAUCUCAUCACACCUCCAACCCUUGUCCGGUCCCCGAAGCCUGGUGCUACAUGAACAUUCUCAAGAGCCUGCCGGGGUGCGUAUCUGCAGGGGUGCGUCUCUGGAGUGAUAUCUGCAGGGUUGCUCUGUCAGUGCUGGACUGGAUGGUGCCCUCACCAACCCUCACUGCCUCACUCCUGCCUCGCCUCACCUACCUCUGCCCAAACGCCAACGGUCUCCAACAGGAGUUACCCCGAAUACAACAUACUCGGGAUGAAAUUCACAGACUCGCCAAAAAGACAGGAGCCAGCUUCAGAAAGUCAGAUCCAAGAAGCAUUGUUUUGGUGUCACCUAAGCGCUGGUCUGGUCGCAUCGCUGAUAGCGGACAACGCGGGUUCCCGGCAGAAAGACCAAGUGUGCUCAGGACCCAGGGUCCUAGAGUCGUUCACAGGAUUAUAAGCGACCUUACCAGCAUCUGGCCUGCCCUGCCUGAGAACACAGUGCAAUUCUUUGGCCUGAAGGGAAAGCCUUAAAACUGUCUUAAAUAUUCUCUUGCCGCUUAUAACCUUGGUCUGAGCGUCCGCCCGGCCGUGAGUGACGUGUGCACUCCUUCCACACACGCUGUGGCAGUCCCCAAAGAGGAAGGACAAGUCUCAACAACAUCCCUCGGGAGAAAUCGGAUUUUCCCCCUGAAAACACACAGGCACCGAGGUCUAACCAACGCCUGACACCUGUCACAUUCAGGAUCUUUGAAAGGCAGGACUUGGCCCUGCGCACUCACACUCGCAGGAGAGCGCAGUGUCGCUACCCGAUCAGGACAGCUCUGAUCAAAGCAGAUAUGUUUGCCAAUUCGACCCGGCCUGAUUUCUAGCUCCUCCUUAACAGGGCUCUGCCCGCUUCCCUUUGGGCCUCGUGAGCCACAUUCUCAUGGGCACUGACUGAAUAAAUGCAGGACGUGCCCAAACACCGCACGUGUUUACUCAGCCCUCGAGGACUGUUUCCCAAGUCCCUGCCUUGGGCACCGGGGGACAGGGCUGAGCAGGGCCAGACGCCCCUCCCUCUGCGAGCCUGCAGUCCAGUCUCCCCGCCAGGGGAGGAAAUGCAGCACCCCCCUCGGAAGAGUCAAGAUUUCGAGCUAAGAAUGCCGAUGAAGAGUGGAUCGGGCAAUAAUACUUUGAAAGGUCAUAAUUAUAAUUUUAUUAAGCUGUGAUCAGGGAGAUAAGAUAAAUGUCACAGGAAUGUGUUUCAUGUUGGUUACAUACGAUAUUAAAGAACAAUUAUGAAUUUGCGUUUCUUGCGUACAUGAAAAUUUGGAUCUCUGUAAGGGCAGAAGCGGAGCCUAAUUUUUUAUCUGCUGGAUGAGAAAUUGAUUUUAAUUCUUUCCCUGCUAAUUAAAGGAAAAUUAGAAAAACAAA